rnacentral:lncRNA from 1 species
UGUGUGUGUGAAUCAAUGUGAGAGCUGAUUGAAGGAACUUGUUGGUAAAGAGUAUUGCAAUUUGAAUAGAGGCAAAAAAGUAUGGAUAGGCCUAGAGAAGCUAGAGUAUAAUAAGGAAGAGGCUCAUGCUAUUUGCUAUGUUUCUUUAGGAUGUUAAGUUGAGUGCUAGGAAGUGUUACUUUUGGCUAUGAGUUUCCACCUUCAAACCUCUCUCCCUUAUGAGUUCAUACAAAGUCACUUGAGGACAAGUAAAGAACAAGUUUGGGGGAG